AGCAGCCGCGGUAAUUCCAGCUCCAAUAGCGUAUAUUAAAGUUGUUGCAGUUAAAAAGCUCGUAGUUGAACUUCGGGGUCUACCCAUUGGUCAGGCUUAAUCGUCUGCACUGGUGAGAUGGAUCUCUACCUUCUGAGGAACUUUCAUGCCAUUUAUUUGGUGUGAUGGGAAAUCAGGACUGUUACUUUGAAAAAUUGAGUGUUUAAAGCAGACUAUCGUCUGAAUACAUUAGCAUGGAAUAAUGAAAUAGGACGGACUGAUUCUAUUUCGUUGGUUUCUAGGAUCACCGUAAUGAUUAAUAGGGACAGGUUGGGGGCA
rnacentral:rRNA from 1 species